UGAAGGUAUGGCAGCGCCCUGAACCUGGAGCAAGGCUGGUACAUAAACGCCUACGUCACAAUCUGGAGUCAGCUGAAGUGUCCCAGCAGACAGAAUCCCUUUGGUCAAGGAGAGGGAGAGAGAGGUAAGGGUCUGGUCUUCCUUUUUAAGCAGGAAGAAGACUACAAACCACCAUCUGCCAUCUGCCAGGUAAUUUUAAACCAGUCCACUUAAUCCCCAUCAGAUUUUCCAGAUGCUUUGAAUGCAGAGCCAAGGUUGAGAACCACUGAUUUAGACAAAUAUACUAUGGGGGAAGGAGAAGGAGGUUCCACCGGCAGAGAGCAACCAGCUGGAGCCAUUUGGGACUUAGCACAAAGGACUUCUUGUCAGGGAAAUUCACCUAUUGAGAGACAUUUUGGUGGUUUCCAAUUCUGGGCCACUGAAAAGAAUACUAAUAAGCAAAGUCCCUCUUCUGCUGUGAAACUAAGAGUGGGCAGAUAUUCCCUCUCUGGCCCUUGGGUAACUGAAAGGAGGCUUAUGACCAAAGCACAGCACAGCCAGUGAAAUGCUCCUGCUCAGAAUACUGACUUUGGAGAAGUGACACAAGGUAUAUGGUCAGAGUUAAGGGUUCAGUAGGCCAGUAAUGAGUGCCAGUGGUGGUGGUUCCAGUAGCACAACGGUAAAGACCCAGUUUUGAAGGCUCAGGUGGCAGCAUCCUAAGCCCACUAUCCCUAGAAAGAUGCUGGCUGUGCCUCACCAACCCUCAUCCCUGUCUCAUCCUUGUUCUCCAGCCUCCCAUUAAAACUGUGAGCUUCCUAAUAAAUUUUGUCAUAAAUAUACCAUAA